ACCUUCUGUGGUGUAGCUGGUAGCACUUAGGUUUAGUAAUCAUAAAUCCUAGGUUCAAGUCCCGGUCGGGGUA